rnacentral:rRNA from 1 species
AGGGCACCACCAGGAGUGGAGCCUGCGGCUUAAUUUGACUCAACACGGGAAAACUCACCCGGCCCGGACACUGGAAGGAUUGACAGAUUGAGAGCUCUUUCUUGAUUCAGUGGGUGGUGGUGCAUGGCCGUUCUUAGUUGGUGGAGUGAUUUGUCUGGUUAAUUCCGAUAACGAACGAGACUCUAGCCUACUAAAUAGAUCGUCGGCUUACAAACGCCGACGAGACUUCUUAGAGGGACAGGCGGUGAUUCAACCGCACGAAACAGAGCAAUAACAGGUCUGUGAUGCCCUUAGAUGUCCGGGGCCGCACGCGCGCUACACUGAAGUGAUCAGCGUGCUUUUGUCAACCUACUCUGUCGAGAGUGGGGAACCCAAUGAACCUUCUUCGUGAUUGGGAUAGGGGAUUGUAAUUAUUCCCCUUGAACGAGGAAUUCCCAGUAAGCGCGAGUCAUAAGCUCGCGUUGAUUACGUCCCUGCCCUUUGUACACACCGCCCGUCGCUACUACCGAUUGAAUGUUU